AGACAAAACGUUCAUCCCUUGACCGCGGCUACGUUCGGCGACUGGUUGUCGCCUCGAGCCCAAGAUCACUAUCAUAACUCUCGAACAAUUACAGUCGGAUUGAAUGACGGCAAUUGCUUAAUUACGGCUAUGGUAGAAUAUAAAUUACAGUAUUAGGGGGUUUUCCCAAAGUUUCAAAGGGAAGGCUCCGGUGUUCCUUCAUCUCCGACAUAUAUAUAUAUAUAUAUAUAUAUAUAUAUAUAUAGUGUAUUAAAUUUAUUCGAAAGUACUAGAAUAGUUUAUUGGACAAAGUGAUCGAUCCGAACUGUGCGUAGUUUAUGACGGUGACUCGGCCGUCUAACGAGCGCAUGUUCCACUGUUGCAGAGUUUUUCGUUGGUCGGAGCUGUGUAAGAUAUUUUGUGUAAUUGGAAAUUUAACGCAAAGGUACAUUGAUAGCACAUUGUGGUAAAUACAGCGCGAACGGUAAUUCUAAUUAUCUCAUAUCUAGUUGUAUGUUAUUGGUUUGUUUUUCUUUGUAUAAAUUGAAUUGCGAGCAUGAAUGGACGAUGCAUCUGGAGAAAUGGACUGUGACGAAUAACAACGAGCAGCAAGAGGAUUAACAAGAGGAAGAAGGAAAAGAACGUUUAAUCGUUGAUAAUGAGAAAAUGUAUUAUCUGGUUGGUUGCGUGCGAGCGUGAGAGAAAACGUGUGAAACGAGGGAAGGGCUGGGAGAAGUAUCUUGUAAAUGUGUAAAUAACAAGUGUAAAUAAAAUAAUUUGGAAAUGUGAAACGUUUUGCGUAAAACAAGUAAUGAUAAGAGCGUAAAAAUAUGGGGUGAAAAGACGAGGUGUGUAAUAAAGAUGCGUAAAUAAAAUAAACGCGUUGCUCACUUGGGUGCGUGGAAGGGUGGAGCAGGAAAGGUAAUAGCGAUGUUAAUUAAGCAUGGGAAUUUGUCAAAACAUGGGUUAGUUUUGUUAGAAAAUUGUAAAAUAUGUAAAAAGAUUGUAGACGUUAGAUGCGUGAAAGUUGAAAGAAGUAAGAAAAGAAGGAAAAGAGAGUAUAAAAUGAUAAUAGGUAAUACGUAAGGCAAUAUAAUUUUCUGGAUGGUAAAAGAAUGGAUUUGUUUGGAUUCUAGGAGACUAAAGAAUAAAUAAAGAUCCAUUUAGGAGAUACGUGCGCGUUGUUUAUUCGACCAUUGACCAUAAAUUGUGAAAGUAGGCUUUAAAAAGAUAAAUGACAGAUAUAAUAGCUUUUAAAGAUUAAGAAUAUGGUUGCGUUAAGAAAGGCGUAAUUGUGAAACGUAUGGGUAAUGGAAUAAAAUACCAUUACGAAAGAUAAUAAUUAUAUCUGGAAAUAUAUUAAUAAGGAAUAACACGAUUGGAAUCUUGUAAUUAUACGGAUAAUAUAUGGAAAGUGAUUAACGUUAAAUGACUUCCAUUUAAAGGAACGAAAGGAAAGAAGAACGUCGGAAGAAGGUUUGGUGGAAGGGAAUAGAGAGAAAGAAAAUUUGUUGAAAGGUGUAAUGUUAUUUGAGAAAGGAAAGUUGGCAUAGAAGGAAGAGAGAAAUGUAUAGGACUUGAUAAAUUUAAUAAGUGGUAAAUGGGUG